UCCGGUCAAAAUUGUUCGGCAACCUUGUUUGUGUCUUCUUACCGAAGAGUGUGAACUAUCAUUUCUCACUUAAUUGCCGCGCGGCGGUGCGUGCGGUUUCGUCUUGUCUGAAAAAUUAGUUGUAUCUGCACCUAGUUUGGUUGUGAUUCUGGCAUGUUAGACCAUCUUUGCUGAUCCAAUGCUUCAUAUGCAGUCUGACAUGCAAUAUGUAUUCAGAUGUUAUCCAUCAUUCUUCUGCAGGUUGCAUUUAAAGAUAAAAUUGUUAAUCCUGUUGCUGGGUUCUGUUUGGGUGGUUGCUGCUUGCUUGUACUUGGGAAGCCAAAAUGUGUACUGUCAGUGUGAGAAUUGUAUGGCUUUUUCUCACAUUUUGGGAUUGUGAUUCUGGCUGAGGAGUCUUAAGCGCAGGUUUGACAGGUUUGUUUGUAAAUAUUGUUUGUUUCAAGGUUUGUGGAAUGUCUUGCCAAAAUCGUUGUGGUUCUAAGUAUAUCAUCAAUUGAAAGUUUUCCUAUUUACAGGUUUUCCUUAAUUGGUAUGGUUUUUAUUAAAGUAAUUUUUCUUCUUUUUUUUUACUGUUUGACAGUUGUCUAAUUGCCUAGAUAGUGUUUGUUGCAUUUUUCUUCAUCUGGAACACUGGGCUUUCAUAUUUGUGAAUUAAACAAUUCCUUUUUUCUCUUUUAUUCAACAUGUGAGCUUAGGCUACAAGCUUUUUCUGAAAACGAUAUGGGACUGUCUUUAUUCGUUCACUUUUCUGAAAAUGCUGAUGGAUUUCAUUUCCUUAUGUUACUUUGGUUGGAAUGGUUAUUUGGGUUAUUUGUCAUGCAUAGCAUUUAUUUUCCUAAUUUACCAUGAAUGUUGUUGCUUUGAUGUUGCAGUUGCCUUUUUCUUUGUAUGGAACAUUUGGCUACGUUAUCUACGAGAUUAUGACUGGUGAAUUGUCUCUAGCCGCGGUCUUGCGAAUGGUUUUAGGAGUGUGGCCGUCCGAUUUGGGCUGAAUUCAGAUCCAUUAGGUUGUAGGUGGUUUUGUUGGAUGUUUCUAUUUGUUCAUUAUUAACAGGGCGGUCUAGUGCCCAACGAAUAUACCGGUGAGAUCGUAGAAAUCAAGCUACAAUACAUUACGAUUACAAGUGGAAGAUGGCAAUCCUUGUCAUAAAGAUUAAUCCUGGCAACGAAUCGGAAAUGUAUAAUGAUGGGUUUUUCCUGGUCGAAAAAUGGAUGUUAGUUCGAGGAUCGUCCUGAGAAUUUACAUUGUUCCACAUUUUUUCAAUAUUAAAACUUUCUUGUUGAAAUGUUUAAAACAAAUUUGUUUCGAUGGUUGUUAUCUGUGACCCUGUUUACGUUGACUUGUGAUAUGUACGUAGCGGCACAGAUGCUGAUGUGUAUACCGGAAAAGGGACGUGGUAUCAAGUUUCUCAUCGGACGUAUUGUAUAUCCACUGUUAACUCUUUUUAGUGUUUUGUGCUAACUGUCAAGGUUUUUUUUUUUCACGCCUUCCGUUAUUAACCCAUAAUAUCCUGGCAGGAAAUUUCCGAUGGUGUAAUUCAGAUUCUUCUUUAUACAUUAAAUGAAACUAUAAAUUGUAUGUUUUAUAUUCAAUAAAAAAAGUUUUGAAAAUUA
rnacentral:lncRNA from 1 species